UACGUAGGCAGCGAGCGUUGUUCGGAAUUACUGGGCGUAAAGCGUGCGCAGGCGGUUUCUGAAGUCCGUUGUGAAAGCCCCGGGCUUAACCUGGGAAUGGCAGUGGAAACUAGGAGACUUGAAUCUGGCAGAGGGGGGUGGAAUGCCACGUGUAGCAGUGAAAUGCGUAGAGAUGUGGCGGAACACCGAUGGCGAAGGCAGCCCCCUGGGUCAAGAUUGACGCUCAGGCACGAAAGCGUGGGGAGCAAACAGG
rnacentral:rRNA from 1 species